GCGCAGCAGGCGCGAAACCUUCGCAAUGCGGGAAACCGCGACGAGGGGACUCCCAGUGCCUACGCUCAGCGUAGGCUGUUCCCGAGCCUAGAAAGCUCGGGGAGUAAGGGCUGGGUAAGACGGGUGCCAGCCGCCGCGGUAAUACCCGCAGCCCGAGUGGUGGCCACUAUUAUUGGGCCUAAAGCGUCCGUAGCCGGCCCGGUAAAUGCCUGGGUAAAUCGUGAGGCCUAACCUCACGAAUUCCGGGUAGACUGCCGGGCUAGGGACCGGAGGAGGGAGAGGGUACUCCGAGGGGUAGGGGUGAAAUCCUGUAAUCCCUGGAGGACCACCGGUGGCGAAGGCGCUCUCCUAGGACGGGUCCGACGGUGAGGGACGAAAGCCAGGGGAGCGAACCGGAUUAGAUACCCCGGUAGU
rnacentral:rRNA from 1 species